UUCCGGUGUUGUGACCCUGAAGCGCCAUAGCGAGAGAGAUAACCCCUCCCCCUGAUGCAAGAGUGUGAGCGCGUGGGCUGUAUGCGAUAUUAUGCAGGUUGUGGACGCUGUGUUUCACCUAUAGCAACAAGCUGUAUCACGCAGUGUUUCUAUUCCACUUUAUUUUGAGCAGUGUUUCUAGUCCACUCUUGGAUUAAGGCAGAGAUCUUCCUUUGUGGAGUUCUAUGCAUAUGGAUCUCUGAUGUCUAGGCCCUGCUGUUUUGCUUAUGAUUUUUUUUUUUAAGUUUUGAUCUCAUGGUUAUAUACUGAUGUUUGUUUUGAAGUUUUUUUUCUUUUUUUUGUUAUUAAUGAUUUUGAGUCCUGUUUGUACCAACCACUAAGGGUCUAUAUGUGUGGAGAAAAGGGGAGUUUUUAACCCAUUUUUCUAUAUUCUAGGAGCCAGCCUACGUGGCAGUACUUUUCUCUGGGGUCAUUUGGGUCUUUCCUUUACUGCAUGUGGCGUGAGGUUUCCUGCACUGCAUGGGUGUUGUUUUGAGAGUGUAGAGUUAUUUGCAUUAUUCACUACACCUUUUUAAACUUGUUGGUUGGUGCACGUCCAUGCACAUGUGGUGUGUGCUCUUGAGGUUGUGGAUCUUUGGCCCAGUGACUUUCUCUCUCUUCUUCCUGCAGGCUUGGUUGAUCUUGCAUUCAAGAAUUGUGGGGGGCUGAUUUUAAUAUUUGACUUAAAGUCUAGACAUCUUAAAAUUGUGAUUCUCUCUUUUUAGAUGGUUAUAAAUGUGAAGUUGACUGCUUACUUAGAGAUUUCAGUACUGAUUGUUAAUAAAAGUGUAACCAUCUAAAAAGAGAGAAGAAUCACUUCUUUUUCUAAAAAGAAUCGCUACUUUUUCAAAAAACAAUCUCUACUUUCCUAAAAAGAAUCGCUACGUUUUCCAAAAAGAUUUGCUACUUUUUCCAAAAAGAAUCACUACUUUUCUAAAAAGAAACGCUACUUUUUCAAAAAUAAUCGCUACUUUUAAUCACUACUUUUUAAAAAAAAGCUACUUUUAAUCCCUACAUUUUAAAAAAAGAAUCGCUACUUUUGCAAAAAGAAUCGCUACUUUUCUAAAAAUAAUCGCUACUUUUUCAAAAAACAAAUCACUACUUUUUCAAAAUGUAUCUACAUUUUCAAAAAGAAUCGCUACUUUUCUAAAAAGAAUCGCUACUUGUUCCAAAAACAAUCACUAUUUUUCAAAAUGUAUCUACGUUUUCAAAAAGAAUCACUACGUUUUCCAAAAAGAUUUGCUACUUUUUCCAAAAAGAAUCGCUACUUUCCCAAAAAAGAAUCGCUAC